rnacentral:rRNA from 1 species
UGGUGGAGUGAUUUGUCUGGUUAAUUCCGAUAACGAACGAGACCUUAACCUGCUAAAUAGCUAGGCUGCUUCUAAAGUGGUCGUCAGCUUCUUAGAGGGACUGUUGCGCGAUUAGCCAACGGAAGUUUGAGGCAAUAACA